UUCGCAAUGCCCGAAAGGGUGACGAAGCGACGCCGCGUGGGUGAGGAAGGCCCUCGGGUUGUAAAGCCCUGUCAGGAGUUAAGAAAUAUAAGUGCGCCAAUAUCGCAUUUAUUUGACGAAGGCUCCAAAGGAAGCCACGGCUAACUCUGUGCCAGCAGCCGCGGUAAUACAGAGGUGGCAAGCGUUGUUCGGAAUUAUUGGGCGUAAAGAGCACGUAGGUGGGUUUGUAAGUCAGAUGUGAAAGCCUUCUGUUCAACGGAAGAAUUGCAUCUGAAACUACAAGUCUUGAGUGUAGGAGGGGAGAAUGGAACUUCUGGUGGAGCGGUGAAAUGCGUAGAUAUCAGAAGGAACGCCGGCGGCGAAAGCGAUUCUCUGGCCUAUUACUGACACUCAGUGUGCGAAAGCUAGGGGAGCAAACGGGAUUAGAUACCCCGGUAGUCCUAGCCGUAAACGAUGGGCACUAAGUAGAGGGGUUUU
rnacentral:rRNA from 1 species